UACGGGGGGAGCAACCGUUGUGCGGAAUCACUGGGCGUAAAGGGCGUGUAGGCGGUUCGGUAAGUGGAAUGUGAAAUCCCCCGGCUUACCCGGGGAACUGCAUCCCAUACUGCUGGACUUGAGUGCGGGAGAGGAUGGAGGAAUUCCUGGUGUAGCGGUGAAAUGCGUAGAUAUUAGGAAGAACACCAGUGGCGAAGGCGGCCAACUGGCCCGAUACUGACGCUCAUGUGCGAAAGCGUGGGGAGCAAACAGG
rnacentral:rRNA from 1 species